CUGAUCAGCAGGGGCAUUUUCUUUAUAUAAGAAGAAAAUGGAGACUCCCUACCCACCCGAUGUAUUUUGUCGGACAGUUUUCUGUACAUUGCAGUCACCAAUAUAUCCAAAUAUCAUCACCGGCCCAGACGUCAUUCACUCCUUUGAAUUGUGCUGGUAGCAGUAAGGUGUCAUCAUUUGAGAUGGUCACAGUAUCCAAUACACUGAAGUCACAGGACUCAAAUUUCAUACAUGUUCACAGGGUCUCUGCCAAAAUCUUUUGAGGAUUUUUCCUCUGCUAGAGCAUCCAUGGAUGCAAAUGAAACAACCCAGGACAUCCCAACACAUAUGGAUAAUCAGGCCAUGGCCUACAGUAUGUACAAAAGUUGCCAUACUUUUAAAGCAGUAACUUGCGUGCCUCCAAAUGCUGCACUUACAUUUUGCUCCAUGCUGUACCCAGGUUCUACUUCUGAUGUAGCUAUUGUACGUCACAGCCAAGUUUUACGAAAGUUCAAAGCUGGAGACCUUAUUUUGGUGGUCAAAGGUUUCACCAUUCAUGACCAGUUGCCCCAGGGUGUCUGCUUAAUUAUAAAAGCUCUUUUAUUGACACGAGGCCAGUUUACCAUACAAGAAGCAGCACUGUUACAAGAUUGCUAAAGCACUUAUUCAUGUGGAAAGAGCCAACGAGAGGAUAAAGAAUUACGAGAUUCUCCGUCACAUACCAUCUACUUACAGACCAAUCUCAACAAAAAUAUUUCAACUCUGUUCUUGUCUUGUAAACUUGCAAGCUCCACUUUGGAAAGAAAUUAAAGAUACAUGUACUUAUUAUAAAUUUGCAUUGGCGUGUGACAGUAUACACUAAACAGUGAAGAUAUUCAUACCAAAGUGCAAGGGAUAAGCAAAUUUUGAUUUGUUAUCAAUGUCAAUGGUUAUAUUUGUUAACUUUGUAGUAUGUUGUAAUACAUGUACUUCAGAAAAUGAAAA